GGAGGACGAUGCUGUUCCUACUUUGUUUGGACCAGCGGGAGAUUCGGGUACACAACCUAGUACAUCACAGCAGGAACACAAUACCAACUGCUCCAGUACAGUCGGAUGUCAAACAGACCGUCCACAGACUGUUUGUGUGGGAACUCAGAGGGUUGAGACACGGUCUGUGGGAACACAGACAGUGGAAUGUAAAGUGUCCGCCAUUUCUGUUGCUACACAGUUGGCCCGGGGAACACUGAAAUCGGCACACGUGAGAAGCAAAGGCAUCCAGGCCACGGUGUCUUUCAAAAGUGUUGGCACUAAAACUUCCACCUACACAGAAAUCCCCUUGUCCUCUACACCAAUAAAGGGCCCAGGAUUGGGACCUAGCAAGAGACCUCGACUAGAGUUGGAGCAGGAACAAGGAGAGACUUCGAUUGAAUUUGAAGAGACUCUGGAUUCGAGUUACCACCCUGAUGAUACU